rnacentral:sRNA from 1 species
AACUAGCCCUGAUAGAAGUGAAAAUCCUUUUUUGAGGAACGAAAAAAAGAUUGAAACGCAUAGCAGGAAAUAGC